rnacentral:rRNA from 1 species
UACGUAGGAGGCGAGCGUUGUCCGGAGUUACUGGGCGUAAAGGGUGCGCAGGCGGUGGUGCGCGUGGCGAGUUGAAAUCUCCUGGCUUACCUGGGAGGGUGGUCGCCAGACGGCAUCGCUUGAGGGUCGGAGAGGGGCGUGGAAUUCCGGGUGGAGCGGUGAAAUGCGUAGAUAUCGGGAGGAACACCAGUGGCGAAGGCGACUUCCUGGCCUGUUCUUGACGCUGAGGCGCGAAAGCUAGGGUAGCAAACGGG